CACGGGGGGAGCAAGCGUUGUUCGGAUUCAUUGGGCGUAAAGGGCUCGUAGGUGGCUUUGUAAGUCGGAGGUGAAAUCCCACGGCUCAACCGUGGACACGCCUUCGAAACUGUGAAGCUUGAGGCUGGGAGAGGAGAUCGGAAUUCCUGGUGUAGCGGUGAAAUGCGUAGAUAUCUGGAGGGACACCGGUGGCGAAGGCGGCAUCCUGGACCGGCAUUGACGCUGAGGCGCGAAAGCCAGGGGAGCAAACGGG
rnacentral:rRNA from 1 species